UACGUAGGGGGCUAGCGUUGUCCGGAAUCAUUGGGCGUAAAGAGCGUGUAGGCGGCCCGGUAAGUCCGCUGUAAAAGUCAAAGGCUCAACCUUUGAAUGUCAGUGGAUACUGCCGGGCUAGAGUCCGGAAGAGGCGACUGGAAUUCCUGGUGUAGCGGUGGAAUGCGCAGAUAUCAGGAGGAACACCGGUGGCGAAGGCGGGUCUCUGGGCAGUAACUGACGCUGAGGAGCGAAAGCGUGGGGAGCGAACAGG
rnacentral:rRNA from 1 species